GGAACUUCGUGAGCGGAAGAUACCCUUCACCAUCCGUCGCUACCUGCCAGAUGGAAGUUAUGAAGAUUGGGGCGUUGAUGAACUGAUUGUGGAGGAUUCUUGGAAGAGGCAAGUUGGUGGCGCUUGAUUUUGAUGUGUUUGUGAGGUAAUAGUUUUGCUUUCAAUUGCAUAGCGAUUUCUUCCCCCCUCCUCUAAUCAGCUUGUGAAUCUUGUGGUUGUUGUUUAACCAUCUAUCUAUAAUAUAUUGAAAAG
rnacentral:misc_RNA from 1 species